rnacentral:rRNA from 1 species
AGUGAACGCUGGCGGUAGGCCUAACACAUGCAAGUCGAACGGCAGCACAGUAAGAGCUUGCUCUUACGGGUGGCGAGUGGCGGACGGGUGAGGAAUACAUCGGAAUCUACUUUUUCGUGGGUGUUAACGUAGGGAAACUUACGCUAAUACCGCAUACGACCUACGGUUGAAAGCAUUGGAUCUUCGGACCUUUCGCGAUUGUAUGAGCCGAUGUCGGAUUAGCUAGUUGGCGGGGUAAAGGCCCACCAAGGCGACGAUCCGUAGCUGGUCUGAGAGGAUGAUCAGCCACACUGGAACUGAGACACGGUCCAGACGCCUACGGGAGGCAGCAGUGGGGAAUAUUGGACAAUGGGCGCAAGCCUGAUCCAGCCAUACCGCGUGGGUGAAGAAGGCCUUCGGGUUGUAAAGCCCUUUUGUUGGGAAAGAAAAGCAGCAGGUUAAUACCCCGCUGUUAUGACGGUACCCAAAGAAUAAGCACCGGCUAACUUCGUG